AUAAGACUCAGAUGGACGUUCGGUCUCACAUCUAAUCGACUUCCGUUCCUUAAAUCGACGUUUAAUUCUGAAGUCACGUCCUCAUAUCAGUGUCCAAUACUUCAACUCCUAAUCGACGUCCUAUGUGACUUUUUUAGUCAUAAAAAACGACGUCUUCAGGUUUCAAUUGCGCAAUUAUUUGUUUACAUUUCACCGGGAAGUUUU
rnacentral:lncRNA from 1 species